GACGAACGCUGGCGGCGUGCUUAACACAUGCAAGUCGAGCGGUAAGGCCCUUUCGGGGGUACACGAGCGGCGAACGGAUGAGUAACACGUGGGUGACCUGCCCUCAGCUCUGGGAUAAGCCUGGGAAACUGGGUCUAAUACCGGAUAUGACUCCAUGACGCAUGUUGUGGGGUGGAAAGCCUUGUGCGGCUGAGGAUGGGCCCGCGGCGUAUCAGCUUGUUGGUGGGGUGAUGGCCUACCAAGGCGACGACGGGUAGCCGGCCUGAGAGGGCGACCGGCCACACUGGGACUGAGACACGGCCCAGACUCCUACGGGAGGCAGCAGUGGGGAAUCUUGCGCAAUGGGCGAAAGCCUGACGCAGCGACGCCGCGUGAGGGAUGACGGCCU
rnacentral:rRNA from 1 species